rnacentral:lncRNA from 1 species
GGCCCGCCGUCCUCCGUGGGCGGGGGAGGGAAGCAGGUGGAUGAUCCGACUCCAGCCGUCAAGGCCCCCUGACCUGUCCUGCCCUCCUCUUGCCGUGACUUACGCUUGGAAAGGAGCUAGCAUUUCUGGUUGGGCGUGUUUUAUUUAUAGUGCAAGAACAUCCACCGCAUUCCCCACAAAGUGGGCCGAUGUAGCUACCAGCCUCUCGGGCCAGCCGGAGCCCAUCGGCAGGUCCCACGGAGCAGGAGCCCCCCUGUCGCGAGCCGUUCGCAGCCCGGGACCAGAAAGGACGGGGACGCCCGCAGCCGAGAUGGGUGUUUAUGCGGAUGGGCUCAGGCACCAGGGGCACCUCGCUCUCUGCGAGUUUCCUCCAACCACGUCUCGCGUUCAGGUGCCCGGAAAGCGCAGGUUAUUUCUGCCUGGACGUUGGCGGGAACCAGCCUGUGGGCAGAUCCAUCCGGUGGAGACUUUUGUAAAGGCACACCUUCCUGAGACCAUCGGACAGAUGCAGCUUCAGGACACCUGUGACUCACAACCGAAGGUGAGGCGGGUUCUGCACAUCACCACCGCCCAGAACCUCUGAAGUGUCAGGUUUGUGACUAAUUCGUUCUGUUAAAAGAUGCAGCCCAGUGGGCACCCUCCAGUGAUACCGCUGCAGUGCAUCCUGGUGUUUCUUGGGGAGGGAGGGCAGAGCCAGAGCUAUGCUUGGGGGCAUCAGGAUCCCAGGGACAGUGUUGGGGGGGAGGGGCCUGGGCUUCCAGCCGGUGGUCUUGGGGGCGCGCAGAAUGCAGCCUACCUCCCACCACCCGUCCUCAGGUCUCCUGAGCUCAGGGGUGCAGAAAACCCCUGUGGCGCUGCCACGCAGGAGUGCCAGGACCCCAGCCUUCUCUCCUCGGGAAAAAAUGCGCAACCUAGAAGUUGGGAGAUGUGUGUUAUUCAGCAGACAAAACCGAGGACUUAAGCUGGGAUACAGGGGGUCAGAGAAUUCUGAGAAACUGCAUCAAAGAGGCCAGGAGUCUUUGCCACAAAGACCAGGCGAAAGAACAUCAAAGAUGGCUGUUGACUGAAGAAAACCAGACGUCCCAAACGAGGGAGCCGAGCGCCCUUCUAGGCCUGGGGAGAUGCCAGAGGCUGGGGCGUGGAAGCCAGGCCUUCGCUGUGCACCUCAGCUCCCUGAGUGUCCUGAGUUUUCUCACCCCGAGUUUCCUUAGGCUGCACCUUCGGGGGCGGGGGGUUGGCUGCAGGGCGGGCUCGUCUCCUCCCUGAGUUCCCCGGGGGCCCGUCCCUCCUCUGCUCUGAGGGGGAGGCUGGGAUGUGUGGGCUCGACGGCGGCAGCCUCCUCUGUUUACCGAUACGGCAGCAGCCUGGUUCACUCGCAUCGCUGACUCCCCGGGCACGGCUUUCUCACUGGUGUCACGGGCAGUGGUGGGUCUACUUGACCAGUGACCCUUGGACAGGGCCCCUAAACCACGUCUGGCCCAGUGUGCAAAUGGCUGAACCCAACUCUCAGACCUGCCCAACUUUUUGCCUUUCCUUUUUUCCAAAUUUCAGGGCACCUUUCUUUUUUUGGGUCUUUUUAGGAC